rnacentral:rRNA from 2 species
UUAAAUUGAAGAGUUUGAUCAUGGCUCAGAUUGAACGCUGGCGGCAGGCCUAACACAUGCAAGUCGAACGGUAACAGGAAGCAGCUUGCUGCUUCGCUGACGAGUGGCGGACGGGUGAGUAAUGUCUGGGAAGCUGCCUGAUGGAGGGGGAU